rnacentral:rRNA from 1 species
UUUAUUGAGAGUUUGAUCCUAGCUCAGGAUGAACGCUGGCGGCGUGGAUAAGGCAUGCAAGUCGAGUGGGUUUAGGCCCACGGCAAACGGGUUAGUAAUGCAUAGGAAUUUUCCCUGAAGUCGUGAAUAAUCUGGAGAAAUCCAGGAUAAUACACGAUGUGCUCUACGGAGUAAAGAUUUAUCGCUUCAGGAGAAGCCUAUGUCCUAUCAGCUUGUUGGUAGUGUAAUGGACUACCAAGGCUAUGACGGGUAGGGGGUGUGAGAGCACGGCCCCCAACAUUGGGACUGAGAACUGCCCAAACUCCUACGGGAGGCUGCAGUCGAGAAUAUUCCACAAUGGACGAAAGUCUGAUGGAGCGACGCCGUGUGCAGGAUGAAGGCCUUCGGGUCGUAAACUGCUUUUGUAAGGGAAGAAUGCAAAUGACGGUACCUUACGAAUAAGAGGUUACUAACUCUGUGCCAGCAG